rnacentral:rRNA from 1 species
CGUACUAAGGUAGCAUAAUCCUUCGUUAUUAAUUUUAAACGUAGAAUGAAAGGUAUGACGUAGUGGACUCUUUAACUUUCUAUAAGAAUAAUUUUCUUUAAGGUAAAAAUGCCUUAAUUAAGGGAAGGACGAUAAGACCCUAAAAAUUUAACUUCCUUUUUUUGCCCUAUGAAUUAGUAAAAGAAGUUUAGCCUGGGACGGCUUUUUAGAAUAAACUAAUAGAAAUAAAACAAAUAUCUUGAAAUUAAUGACCCCUGAGGCCCAUCUGAUCAAAUUACUUUAGGGAUAACAGCGUAAUUUAGUUUAAAGAACAAAUUAAAAAACUAAGAUUGCGACCUCGAUGUUGAAUUAAGGCCCCUUAUCUAGCGCAG